rnacentral:rRNA from 1 species
UACGGAGGGUGCAAGCGUUAUCCGGAUUUAUUGGGGUUAAAGGGUGCGCAGGCGGUGCUUUAAGUCAGUGGUGAAAUCUCUUCGCUUAACGAAGAAACUGCCAUUGAUACUGAAGUUCUUGAAUCUAGUUGACGUUAGUGGAAUGUGUCAUGUAGCGGUGAAAUGCUUAGAUAUGACACAGAACACCGAUCGCGAAGGCAGCUAACGAAGCUAGUAUUGACGCUCAGGCACGACAGCAUGGGGAGCAAACAGG